AAAUUAUUUUAUCAUUCAUGUUAUAAUCGCUUUGGUCCUUUGACGUUUAUUCUUAUACGUAUCUGUCAGUCCACCGUUCUACUCAAACUUCAAAAAAUGAGGAGGUCCCAAUUCGACAAAAUUUUUAUAGAGUUUAACGCCAGUGUCCGUCUAUGUGUCUGUCUGUGGCAUCAAGUGUUUUUUUUUUUUCGUGUGAAAGCGAGUUUUCUUGCGUUGAUCCUUAGCUAUAUAGCAUCUAUUGCAUAUAUAUUUAUAUGUAUAACGCUUAAUAUGCUUGAUUUUCUUUACGUCACACUAAUAUAUAUUUUUAUUGCACUUA